UCCUACGGGGCGCAGCAGUGGGGAAUAUUGCACAAUGGGGGAAACCCUGAUGCAGCGACGCCGCGUGAGUGAAGAAGUAUUUCGGUAUGUAAAGCUCUAUCCGCAGGGAAGAAAAUGACGGUACCUGACCAAGAAGCCCCGGCUAACUACGUGCCAGCAGCCGCGGUAAUACGUAGGGGGCAAGCGUUAUCCGGAUUUACUGGGUGUAAAGGGAGCGUAGACGGCUGAGCAAGUCAGAAGUGAAAGCCCGGGGCUCCACCCC
rnacentral:rRNA from 1 species